rnacentral:lncRNA from 1 species
AUUCUCUUAAACAAAAAUAGAAUAAGUAUUUACAAUCACAGGUAAAAAUACAAAAAAGCAUACAAGCAAAUAAUUGUCUUUCUAAAAGACAUAAGUUACAACAGCUAUGAAAAGUGUCAACCAAAGUAAGCCACAGACCAAAUAAUACCUUUUGUAACCGACACUGUGCAGUACAAUCGCUACAGUCAAGAUUACAAUUGUGCAGUUCUGCUAAAUGCCUAUAUGUUUUGAGUUACAUAACAUCAUUUCACAUCUCACUUAUUGCAUUCCAGGUAAUAUGACAGAACCAGAAGCCAGCGGUUAGCGAGCGGUUUAUUUAAUAAUGCCUACGGAGAAAGCCACAGUGUUGUCAGGGGCAACCUUACAGGAAUUAGCUUUUGGAUAAAUUCCUACUAACGUGACAUAAUCGCUUCUAUCCGUGUGUUCCAUUACAGAUCUAUCUGGAGUGGGAUUGGCUUUAGCCCCAAAAACUGUUAUGAUAACAACUGUUAUAAUAUAAUUGGAGUGGAUUCAACUGCAUGUAGGGAAAAUAUCAUUCCGGUAUAAAGUCCUUGGACUGAGUACCGUCGGCAAUGGUGAUCAGCCAAUCGAAUCUCGACACAGGGAAACUGAACGUACUGAUUGAGAAGGCGCCGUUUCAAAGCAAAACUGUUCUAAUUGACUGCAAGGGGGUGUUUUAGUUUUCCCAGUGUGCACGGCAUGCUAUUUAUUCAGUCUAGUAGUGGGUAAACAGAGGAUUGGUAGGGUUUGGCAAUCAAUCAAUAAAGUGUUCCCUGAUCAAUAUGACCAGCUGACCUGAAGGGCAGAGAGAGGAGCACAGUGAGCCGGGCCAUGCAGAGGCAAGCCACACAGUCAGAGGGAAAACACAAGUCAGAACAAUAUCAUCAUCCAUCGACGAAACGGAUGACUUCUCUAGUCUACGGUAAAGCAAAUGUCUUGACAUUUACACAGCUCUACAGCUGUACACUUAAAUAAGGCAACUUAUUUAAAAUACGAGGGAAUAUUCCCAUUUACACCGAGUAUACAAAACAUUAACAACACCUGGUCCUUCCAUGACAUAGACUGAACAGGUGAAUCCAGGUGAAAGGAUUUUUACGCUUUGAGACAUGGCUUGUGUAUGUGUGCUUUAAGUGCCUUCGAAUGGGGUAUGGCAGUAGGUGCCACCGGUUUUUGUCAAGAACGGCAACGCUGCUGAGUUUUUCACGCUCAACAGUUCCCUGUGUGUAUCAAGAAUGGUCCACCACCCAGAGGACAUCCAGACAACUUGUGGGAAGCAUUGGAGUCAACAUGGGCCAGCAUCCCUGUGGAACGCUUUCGACACCUUGUAGAGUCCAUCAUGAGGGGGGCUAUUUUAGGAAGGUGUUCCUAAUGCUGGGUAUACUCAGUGUAGAUGUAUAUCUAUUUUUCUGAUUUCUCUUCAAAGGUGAUGGUGAACAAUGAUACUACAGUAGGUGCUGUAUUGUAUAUAGGAUUCUGAGGAGGAAUGUGCAAAGGUGAGUGGAAUAGAACCAUUCAAUAUCAUUCUAAUUCUAUGAUAGAACCCUCCAGCCCUGUAGAUCAUGGGUAGGGAUUUCAGUGCUGAGGAAGAGAGGAUGUUGCCACACUUGUGUGAAAGCAGCAGACACUGAACAAAGCUCUGCUCCUGGUUGCAACAUCACAGAACCCCCAGAUAGAAAUAUAUUAUGUAGAACAGACAUGCUUCUUUAUCAUGUAGACAAGGGAAUACUGAACAGCUCUGCACCUGACAUUUCUAUCUGAGAAACUGAAUGUUGUCCCCUCCAGAAAGUGACCCUGCUCAGUGUGGGGGCUAGUUAGGGGCAGGUGGCAGGGGCUUAGGGCAUGUUCAGGGCAACUCUCAGCGCAGAAGGCAACUAGGCCACAGCCAGUGAUGGACCUGGGUCCAUCUGCGCGCCAUAGGGAACAUGCCUGUCCAAAAUUACCCAGAAGCCCUCAGUCAGGAGGGUUGCAUCUGAAAUGGCACUCUAUGUUCCCUACAUAGUGCACUCCUUUUGUGUCAAAAGUAGUGCACUACAGCCCUAGGCUCUGGUCAAAGUAGUGCACUAGAGCCCCGGGCUCUGGUCAAAAGUAGUGUACUAUAUAAGGAAUAGGGUGCCAUUUGGGAUGCAGCCGAGGUGUGUGAGGCAAUUAGGCAGUGAUUGCAAUGAACCUGGUGAGGGCGGCAGAGUCAAUACAUACAAUAACACCUAUACAACAACAUAUCAGAAGGAGUCAAAUCAAAAACAAAGCAGCAUAUAGAUAUGUACAGAUGGCU